rnacentral:lncRNA from 1 species
AAGCUUUGAGGAUGGAGAUGUUUCAUAUUCUCCAUUGGAUCUUCAGUACCUGAUUCAAGAAGAACCUUAAUCAGGGGAAAUACAAAGAAAACCAUGUCUAGAUACAUCAUAGUCAAACUUAUGAAAAUGAAAAAUAAAGAAAAAAUAUUGAAAGCAUCCAGAGGAAAAUAACGCAUGACAUAUAAGCAAAAAAUGAUUCAAAUGACUGUGAACAUCUCAUCAGAAACUGUGGGGGCCAAUGACAUUUUCACGGUGUUGAAAGAAAAAACAACUGUCAUCCAAGAUGAAGAUUUAAUACAUAUGACAAUGAUAUUAUUAAGGAUAAGGGGGAGGUGAGUAAACAUAUCAACCUGUAAGAGUCAUACAUUUUAUAUAAAGUAGUGUGAUGUUAACUCUAAAUAGAGUUAAGAGAAUUUCAGGACGUAUAUUCCUGAGCAAUCACUAGGAAAUGUUGCAAAGAGGAAUAGGUAAAAUGCCAAUAGCUGAAUUGAAAAUCCUAAAAACUAUUCAAUUAACUAAAAAGACAGCAAGAAUGGAGGAAAAGAGGUAUGACAAAUAGGGCAAACAGAAAAUCAAUAGUAAUAUUCAUACAAUGGAAUGCUACUUAGCAAUAAAAGGAAAGAGCAACUGAUCCAUGCACCCACAGGAAUGACUGUUAAGAACAUUAUGCUGAAUGGAGAAAGCCAGACACAAGAGGGUAAAUACUGUGAUUUCAUUUUUUAUGAAAUUUUAGAACGGGCAAAACCAAUCUAUAGUGAAAAAUCAUCACAACAGCGGUUGCCUCUUGGGUGUUGAGGAGUGAGUUUAUUGGGAAAAGACUGUCAUAAAAGAGUUUUCUAAGGUAAUGGUCAUGUUCUAUAUUACAAUAGGAAUUUGGGUUACACAAGUGUAUGCAUUUGCCAAACUCAUCAAAUUGGACACUUAAGUUAUAUACAUUUCAUUGUAUGUACAUUUUACCUCAAAAAAGGAGCUAUAAACAAAUAUUAGACUCUAAGUUGAGGAUAUGCAUGCUGAAAUGUUUAGGGGUGAAAUGUAUGCAUUUUUGCAACUUACUCUGAAAUCCAUCAAUAAAUAAGAAUGAUUGAUACGUGAUGUGAUAAAGCAAAUACAAUAAAAAAUUAAUUAUACGGUCUAGAUUUUG